GCCAAGUGUGGUGGUGCACACCUGUAGUCCCAGCUACUCGGGAGGCUGAGGUAGGAGGAUCGCUUGAGCCCAGGAGGUAGAGGCUGCAGUGAGCUGUGAUUGUGCCACUGCAUUCCAGCCUGGGCAACAGAGUGAGACCCUGUCUCAA
ensembl:misc_RNA Metazoa_SRP Metazoan signal recognition particle RNA